AUUCAACCCUAUGCGAUGACCAAUGACUUGAUCAUCUAAAAGGAUCUCUAGGAUCAAGUAUCAGAAACUACUUAAAGAGUUCAUCUUCGGGAUUACUUCCAAUUCACAUUAGCAAGCUAACACAUAUAAAUCUUCCACAGCCUCGAAGUUCCAUCCAACUCUAUAUAUUGCUAGAAUAACCAAAACAUGACUCCUAACAUAACAAAGAUCCUGAUCAAAGGAGCGAAAGAUGAAGGUACAUAUGAAACAAAGAGAACAGAGAUGUUGGGAACAUCUUUACAUGGGUGUGUGUAUAUAUUUAAAUAUAUAUAUAAACUAGUACUAAGAGCAGUGUGGUGCCAAGCCACCAGGAUACCUCAAUGCAUGGGAACACGAGGAGCACG
rnacentral:misc_RNA from 1 species